ACCGAUCUUCCUACUUCUUAUGUUCCAUAAAUGAGUGAUGGUUGGGUGUCCGCACUAAGUUCGGCAUCAAUAUGGUGACCUCCCGGGAGCGGGGGACCACCAGGUUACCUAAGGAGCGGUGAACCGGCCCAGGUCGGAAAUGAAGCAGGUCAAAACUCCCGUGCCGAUCAGAACUCGUACACCUUCUGCCGAGCACUUCCUGCUCGCUGGGAAC
rnacentral:SRP_RNA from 14 species